CCCACAGGGGUUCUUUCUCAGGUCACCCUGAAAGAGUCUGGUCCUGGGCUGCUGAAACCUAAUGAGGUCCUAUCACUGACCUGCACCAUCUCUGGAUUCUCACUGAGCACUACUGAUACUGCUGUCGCCUGGCUCCGUCAUCCUCAAGGAAAGGCACCUGAGUGGCUCUCCCACAUAUACUGGGAUGAUGAUAAAAGAUAUGCACCAUCUCUGAAGAGUCGGCUCACAAUUUCCAGAGACACCUCCAAAAACCAAGUGUUUUUAACUAUGACCAACAUGAGCCCCACAGACACAGCCAUGUACUACUGUGUAUGA